rnacentral:lncRNA from 1 species
CUGCAAUCCUAUCUGCGCCACAAGAGCCGGAACCAGCUCCGCGGUGACACUCUUCUGCAAAGGGCAAGACUGCCUCUACGAGCGAGGACUCUUACGGAAAAGGGAAACCAGUAGCUUCUCCUGCCUGACCCUCACUGCAGAGAUACUCGUGCAUUUGUUUCUAUGAUUUCCCGGUUCUAAUGUCUUACCCUUAACAACAACAAAAAAGCCGUCUUGUUCCAAGUAAAAUAAGCAUUUGGAGAUAAAAUCGAGCUGGGCUAAAGGGAAAGUAAAAAUCUAAGUCUCACGUGGCUGAGAGGCUGGAAAUAACUGACAAUGGUCAAACCAUAUGUGACAAUAGGAC